rnacentral:rRNA from 1 species
GUGGAUUAGGUACCCCGGUAGUCCACGCUGUAAACGAUGUCAACUAGCUGUUGGUCUUAUGAAUGAGAUUAGUGGCGCAGCAAACGCGAUAAGUUGACCGCCUGGGGAGUACGGUCGCAAGAUUAAAACUCAAAGGAAUUGACGGGGGCCCGCACAAGCGGUGGAGCAUGUGGUUUAAUUCGAUGCAACGCGAAGAACCUUACCUACCCUUGACAUACAGUGAAUUUUGCAGAGAUGCGGAAGUGCCUUCGGGAACACUGAUACAGGUGCUGCAUGGCUGUCGACAACU